UUUAAAUAGGUGACGGGGCUGUGGUGGAGAGCCUAGCCUGUCAAAACAGGCAAUUUACUGCUUUAGAAAAAUACUCCAAUUCACAUAUAAAUCUCACUUAACAUGGUUUAAAGGUGACUUGCAAAUGAAGAAAAAAAAAUGUGUCCCUGUCCUUUUUUGCAUCCUCAUGGGGUAGAAAGAAAACCUGAAAGGCUUGAGAGUUGAGGGGAUUUUGUUUUCUUUUGUUUUUAAAAGUUUUUUUCCUGCUUGUUUUUACCUCAGAAAUAUCGAGAACGUGAACUCUUUGCUUCUCUGGUUUUGCUGGAUGAUUUCUUUGUCUCUAGAGGAGAAGAGAACUGGAGAUUUCACAACAAAAGAUUAGAAUACUACAAUUGAGAGGUUGCUCCAGCAACUCAACCCAUAGUUCUUCAGACUGGAAAUGAAAUGCAUUGGCAAAGGCGAUAGGUAUAGACAGACAUACCCCAGAGUCGUGGCACCCAUUAACAGAUCAAGCAAGCGUGUGCAGCUGUGUUUUGAUCAGUGAAAAGGUUUCCUGGCAUCCAAGAACUGACAUCACCUUUUGGGGUAUGACAAAUGCAUCCGAGCAUCUAGCAAGUGAAAAUCAAGGGUCUCGAUUUCCAGAGCUGAGAGGCUAAUCUAAUAACCCCGUAUGCUGAAUGCCCAGCCAGGCACUGAGCAGAUGCACAGGGAUGGAAUCCAUCUUGUGGUGACGGGAGUGUGCUCUGUGGGCCCUUCCCAAACCAUGCCUGCCAGCCCAACAGGAUCUGCGUCCCAUUCGGUGCAGGGAUUGUGUACUCCCUCUGAGCCUUCCAUCCUGCCUCCCUGUUUGCAGUGGAAUGAAACCAGUUUGGCACCCAACACAUAGUUCAGCUUCAGGGAGGCAAAGGAAGCAGUAGAUCAAUAGGAUGUCUUGACUGAAGUUGCCUGCAGCAGUUCCAUUUCUCAGACUGGACACUGAUGCUAACUAUCAAUAGCAAUAAGAGGCUGUCUCAGACAGAAUUAAGGCUCUUUCUUCUGCAUGGCUGUCUGGUGGUUACUGAUAAACAUCUUGUGCACAGGAUUGCAACAAAUAAACCAU